UUAAAAGAAGCGCUAUGGCAGCUGAUUGUUCUCUGUGGAAUUUCGUGGCUUUGUGGUAAAAGCUUUGCCCGUGUGUGGGAGGUUGCUGGUUCAAACUGAGCUACAGGUUUUUGUGAUGAAAAUGAAAGCAAGCUGUUGCCUGACAUCCAUGGCUCAAGUUUACUUUAGUUCAGGGUUACGUAUAUGAAAGUGAAAAGAUCCGUAAAACAUCGCCUCUGGGUUGAGAGGUUUGAAACAGUUUGGUUUAUAGCAAACACAGCAACAGCACGACCUACAGAGACGAAUUUCCCUUCAAGUCUCUUCACCUCCUCCUAACAGACUUUCUGCGUCUGCUGAAGCGUACAAACACCUGUCCGACCGUGUACUACGCCACCAGUAACACCUACACAGCGGAUACGGGGACCGAGGUCCAAUUCGGAAAGUUCAUCAGUGUUACGCCACGGCCAGAGAGGGCACUGGCUCGCCGCCUGACGAGUCACGUGACAUUGUUUUUGUUCGCUCGCUUCCGGAUUGAGCAUUUUGUAUUAAGUGACUUUAAUUUGCCCCAGGUGUCCAUGCCCUGAGUUAAUCAUGUUCUUUAUUUAAAGGCCUGGGUGACUGAGCACUUCGCUCAGUAUUAUAUCAUGUCUUUAGUGCAUCCGGGUUAGUAUCGUUUGUUUUCCGGUGAAGACCGCGUUUACUUUAAUCGUGAGUUUUGUGUCUAAUAAAGACUAUGACCUGCAUCUGCCUCCAGUCUACAUUUCGUAACAAUCAGAGCCGGAACCUCUCAGAGCUCUGAAACUGAAGUGGUGGAGUCCGAUGGAUGCACCGUGUUUAACAUCAGUUCCUGUUCUGUGGUUAAUGUUGAAGAGAACAUGUGUAAAUGUGAGGAACUCCAGGCUCUUAUUUCUCCAGCCGAGGUCUUCACAGUGCAGAACGUUAGAGGUGUUAGCAAUGAUGAGAUCACAUAAAGAAAUCACUUUAACACACUCAUGCUUUUUCAAUCAUAACUGCUCUUUCUUCCACAGGAACACUGUGGAUUAUGAAUCCUCCACCUCUCUGACUUUUACACUUCUGGUACCGACGGCCUCCUUGCUGAGUCACUUUACACCAAUGGAGUGACUCACGUGUUCAUCUACAUGUUUAUAUCAAUUUAUUACAACAUUUUUAGUAGAGUUUUUUUUCUCAUGACAUGUUUCAGUUCUCCUUGUAAUUUGAUCCAUGAUCAGAAGUACUGGGAGCAGUCUCGGGUAAUGACAGACAAAUAAAAAUCAGAUUAUAGAAGUGUAAAAUAA